UAGAUGGGCCUAGAAACACAGACUUUCGGAGUGCCGCCUGGUCUGUGGUUGAGAGGAGUCUGUGGCUGGCACGCUGAAGGCUGAGCACCUGGUCUUGCAGUAGAGACAACGGUAUCACCCUAUGCUGAAGGUCUGAAAUCAUCUGAAGGACAUGAGUUAGCAGCCAGCCCAAGACCAGGAGCUGAAAAGACCUAUGGAGCACUGCAAAAGCGCUUUGCUGAGUGUGAAAAUGCUGUGGUUGGCGAAUCACAAAGCAGGUGCCAGAACUGACAUGCGACCACGGAAAAUGGAAAUUUAUUGGAAUACGACUCUCGAUACAUUCUGAAAUGGAGACGUCAGGAACCAAUCGUUAAAGGGUACUGAGAAUCUUCUACGGAGUGCCUGUAAUAAAACACAUCUACUUAUUAAUGCUCUGUGUGAAAUACUCAACCUGCUGAAAGGUACAACUAUCAAGAGGGGCCACAAUUAUUAAAAGAAAAACAAAGCGUAAAUACCCUUCCUUCCCAUACAUGUCAAUAGACUGUGGUGUAAAUGUCUAUUUAACUUGGGUGUAUGCACUUUUAUAAAUGACACCCCAGAAACUUUACAUACGGAAAUUUGGGGGAAGCUCAGCAAUAGUACAAAAGCAUGUAUUUGGUUUAAACUUUCUAUAAAAAUGAUCUAUAGUCUGAUUCUGUUCAUGGGUCUCAAUAUGGUUGGGGUAAAUUGUGCUGUGCUGGAAAUACUUGAAAUCAGGACAAUAAA